GCAAACGGAAAAAGAAAAAAGAAAUUGUCUCCCUAAUCUCAUCCCGUUUGGACCCAAAAACCACAAAACCAAAAGAAACCAAACCACACCGUUCUCUCUCUCUCUCUCUCUCUCUUUCCUCUUCUCUCUCUAACCAAACCCUAAACACGAAGACUUUCUUUUCUCUUUCUGAAAUUUCAAAUUCGCAAUCCGAUGUUCUAAUCCGACACAUCUCUGCGUUGAUCCGGUUUACAUAGAUUCAAUGCUGUUUUUGGUUAAUCAAGCAUACUUGAUGGCCGAUGGUUACACAUAUGGAUAAAAUGUCAGCUCCUUCAUCAAGGGAGUGUGUCCAACGCCUCUAUGACAAGGUUAUUGAAUUGGAGAAUAGGUGUCGGAGAUUCAAUGCCGUUUUUGGUUAAUCAAGCAUACUUGAUGGCCGAUGGUUACACAUAUGGAUAAAAUGUCAGCUCCUUCAUCAAGGGAGCGUGCCCAACGCCUCUAUGACAAGGUUAUUGAAUUGGAGAAUAGGUGUCGGAGGUCUGCUCAAGCAAAAAUAUAGAACUUCCUUCAUCUUUGCCCUCUGGCGAACCUUCCUCUCUUAAAGUGCCAUGGACGAGUUAUGGUCCGUCAAACAUUCGAAUAGUCCCAUUUCCAACUCGUGAAUACACUGAUGAUGAGUUCCAGUCCAUCAUAAAAAGUGUCAUGUGUGUACUGCAUCUUUUGCCCAAUUUCUCGGUUGAUCAGCUAUUCUGUGUUUGAGAAGAAGAUAAAGAGGUCUUUAUAUGAUGGGGCUGGAAGAUGGGAUAUUCCAUCUCUCAUGGUUUAUUGCAUAUGAUUUGCAGGUUGGUUCUUUGUUCUUUUGUAUUUUUGUUUAAUUUAUGAAGAAGUCUCAGCAAGAAUUCAAUCAAUGUA